UACGUAGGGUGCGAGCGUUAAUCGGAAUUACUGGGCGUAAAGCGUGCGCAGGCGGUUUUGUAAGACUGUUGUGAAAUCCCCGGGCUCAACCUGGGAAUGGCGAUGGUGACUGCAAGGCUAGAGUUUGGCAGAGGGGGGUAGAAUUCCACGUGUAGCAGUGAAAUGCGUAGAUAUGUGGAGGAACACCGAUGGCGAAGGCAGCCCCCUGGGUCAAAACUGACGCUCAUGCACGAAAGCGUGGGGAGCAAACAGG
rnacentral:rRNA from 1 species